AUUGGGAGGUGGGGCCUAGAAGGUGGGAACAGGCCACCAGUGCAGGGCCGUAAAAGCUGCACUUGGCCCCAAGUUCUUUCCCUGCUCACAGCUUCCUAAAAUAUUUUGGUAAUAUUUUGAUGUGAGAGCCUUUGCCACGAGCUCUCACCAAAGUGAUCGGAGCACUCUGUGACGCCUUCUCUAGUGAUGGCCUGCAAUCGUCUGAAACCGUAAGCCAAAGCAAGGCUUUCCUUUCCUACACUGUUUCUGUUGGGUCGGAGACGUGCAGGAAGAGCUGGGUGGAUAUCACAGAAGAAGAUAUGGACGUGAGAAGAGAGUAGAAGGGAAUAUGUAAUGAUUGAGGAUGUAAUUUUGAGAAGUGUCAUGGAGAAUAAUGUGACUAUAUAAAUCUGGAAAUGCCUUGUUAGGUGUAGUUACCACUCGUGACCAGGUGGGUCUUUCACACAUCACUGUUUUCCAUGACUCUGGACACACCAACUGAGCAUUUUUAUAAUUUGACUCCUUCCUAAUCGUGUCUGGGGUUGCAUAGACAAGACAGAUUUCCUAUGAUGCAUCCUCCUCCCCACCUCUGCCCCUGCAAGCUCCCCUG